CCUACGGGAGGCAGCAGUAGGGAAUAUUGCUCAAUGGGGGAAACCCUGAAGCAGCAACGCCGCGUGGAGGAUGAAGGUCUUCGGAUUGUAAACCCCUUUUGUUAGAGAAGAUAAUGACGGUACCUAACGAAUAAGCACCGGCUAACUCCGGGCCAGCAGCCGCGGUAAUACGGAGGGGGCAAGCGUUACUCGGAAUAACUGGGCGUAAAGAGCGCGUAGGCGGGAUAGCAAGUCAGAUGUGAAAUCCUAGGGGUUAACCAUAGAACUGCAGUUGAAACUGGUAUUCUAGAGUGUGGGAGAGGAUGGUGGAAUUCUUGGUGUAGCGGUGAAAUGCGUAGAUAUCAAGAGGAAUACCCAUUGCGAAGGCGACCUGCUGGAACGUAACUGACGCUGAGGCGCGAAAGCGUGGGUAGCAAACAGGAUUAGAUACCCUAGUAGUC
rnacentral:rRNA from 1 species